GACGAACGCUGGCGGCGUGCUUAACACAUGCAAGUCGAACGGAAAGGCCCUGCUUUUGUGGGGUGCUCGAGUGGCGAACGGGUGAGUAACACGUGAGUAACCUGCCCUUGACUUUGGGAUAACUUCAGGAAACUGGGGCUAAUACCCGAUAGGAGCUCCUGCUGCAUGGUGGGGGUUGGAAAGUUUCGGCGGUUGGGGAUGGACUCGCGGCUUAUCAGCUUGUUGGUGGGGUAGUGGCUUACCAAGGCUUUGACGGGUAGCCGGCCUGAGAGGGUGACCGGCCACCUUGGGACUGAGAUACGGCCCAGACUCCUACGGGAGGCAGCAGUCGGGAAUAUUGCACAAUGGGCGCAAGCCUGAUGCAGCAACGCCGCGUGCGGGAUGACGGCCUUCGGGUUGUAAACCGCUUUCGCCUGUGACGAAGCGUGAGUGACGGUAAUGGGUAAAGAAGCACCGGCUAACUACGUG
rnacentral:rRNA from 1 species